GAUGAACGCUGGCGGCGUGCUUAACACAUGCAAGUCGAGCGAGAAGUUUUGAAAAGAUUCUUCGGAUGAAAUUUAAAAUGGAAAGCGGCGGACGGGUGAGUAACGCGUAGGCAACCUGCCCCAUACAAAGGGAUAGCAUUUGGAAACGAAUAUUAAUACCUUAUGAAACUUAACUAGUGCAUGCUAGGUAGGUCAAAGAUUUAUCGGUAUGGGAUGGGCCUGCGUCUGAUUAGCUAGUUGGUGAGGUAACGGCUCACCAAGGCGACGUUCAGUAGCCGACCUGAGAGGGUGAACGGCCACAUUGGAACUGAGACACGGUCCAAACUCCUACGGGAGGCAGCAGUGGGGAAUAUUGCACAAUGGGGGAAACCCUGAUGCAGCAACGCCGCGUGAACGAUGUAGGCCUUUGGGUCGUAAAGUUCUGUUCUAGGUGAUGAAAACUGACAGUAACCUAGCAGAAAGCCCCGGCUAACUCCGUG
rnacentral:rRNA from 1 species